rnacentral:rRNA from 1 species
AGCUUGCUCUUAUGAAGUUAGCGGCGGACGGGUGAGUAACACGUGGGUAACCUGCCCAUAAGACUGGGAUAACUCCGGGAAACCGGGGCUAAUACCGGAUAACAUUUUGAACCGCAUGGUUCGAAAUUGAAAGGCGGCUUCGGCUGUCACUUAUGGAUGGACCCGCGUCGCAUUAGCUAGUUGGUGAGGUAACGGCUCACCAAGGCAACGAUGCGUACCCGACCUGAGAGGGUGAUCGGCCACACUGGGACUGAGACACGGCCCAGACUCCUACGGGAGGCAGCAGUAGGGAAUCUUCCGCAAUGGACGAAAGUCUGACGGAGCAACGCCGCGUGAGUGAUGAAGGCUUUCGGGUCGUAAAACUCUGUUGUUAGGGAAGAACAAGUGCUAGUUGAAUAAGCUGGCACCUUGACGGUACCUAACCAGAAAGCCACGGCUAACUACGUGCCAGCAGCCGCGGUAAUACGUAGGUGGCAAGCGUUAUCCGGAAUUAUUGGGCGUAAAGCGCGCGCAGGUGGUUUCUUAAGUCUGAUGUGAAAGCCCACGGCUCACCCGUGGAGGGUCAUUGGAAACUGGGAGACUUGAGUGCAGAAGAGGAAAGUGGAAUUCCAUGUGUAGCGGUGAAAUGCGUAGAGAUAUGGAGGAACACCAGUGGCGAAGGCGACUUUCUGGUCUGUAACUGACACUGAGGCG